GACGAACGCUGGCGGCGUGCUUAACACAUGCAAGUCGAACGCUGAAGCUCAGCUUUUGUUGGGUGGAUGAGUGGCGAACGGGUGAGUAACACGUGAGUAACCUGCCUCCUUCUUUGGGAUAACGCCCGGAAACGGGUGCUAAUACUGGAUAUUCACUGGUCUUCGCAUGGGGGUUGGUGGAAAGGGUUUUUCUGGUGGGGGAUGGGCUCGCGGCCUAUCAGCUUGUUGGUGGGGUGAUGGCCUACCAAGGCUUUGACGGGUAGCCGGCCUGAGAGGGUGACCGGUAACAUUGGGACUGAGAUACGGCCCAGACUCCGACGGGAGGCAGCAGUGGGGAAUAUUGCACAAUGGGCGCAAGCCUGAUGCAGCGACGCCGCGUGAGGGAUGGAGGCCUUCGGGUUGUGAACCUCUUUCGCUCAUGGUCAAGCCGCAACAAUGGUUGUGGUGAGGGUAGUGGGUAAAGAAGCGCCGGCUAACUACGUG
rnacentral:rRNA from 1 species